rnacentral:rRNA from 1 species
CCUAACACAUGCAAGUCGAACGCCGGUUACUACUGCUUCGCAAGAAGUAGUAGUGACUGAGUGGCGAACGGGUGAGUAACACGUGGGUGACCUGCCUUCGAGUGGGGGAUAACAUUCCGAAAGGAGUGCUAAUACCGCAUGACAUCCUGCCUUUGAAGAGGCGGUGAUUAAAGCUGGGGAUCGUAAGACCUGGCGCUUGAAGAGGGGCCCGCGUCCGAUUAGCUAGUUGGUGGGGUAAUGGCCUACCAAGGCGACGAUCGGUAGCCGGCCUGAGAGGGCGGACGGCCACACUGGGACUGAGACACGGCCCAGACUCCUACGGGAGGCAGCAGUGGGGAAUUGUUCGCAAUGGGCGCAAGCCUGACGACGCAACGCCGCGUGGAGGAUGAAGAUUUUCGGAUCGUAAACUCCUUUCGAUCGGGACGAAUGGCUAGUGGUCGAAUACACCAUUAGAUUGACGGUACCGAGAGAAGAAGCCCCGGCUAACUCCGUGCCAGCAGCCGCGGUAAUACGGGGGGGGCAAGCGUUGUUCGGAAUUACUGGGCGUAAAGGGCGCGUAGGCGGCCUGCUAAGUCACACGUGAAAUCCCUCGGCUCAACCGGGGAACUGCGUGUGAUACUGGCGGGCUUGAAUUCGGGAGAGGGAUGUGGAAUUCCAGGUG